ACUAACUGAAAGCUCAAACUGAAGUCUAAUGGAUGCAGGAUAUGAGAAGCAGGGUAGGAAAAAGAAACUGUAUUUUUCCAAACCACAGAUGCCCAGCCAUCUCCUGCAAUUCACUGGUCGAAGUCAUCAUUUGUGAAAGUGAGGCAGAAGUUUGUAGGUUUGAAGGUUCAGGCCACAGCCCGUUCUCUGCAUGUGACAUUAAUGAUGACAACAAAUC
rnacentral:lncRNA from 1 species